CCCUUAGAUGUUCUGGGCAGCACGCGCGCUACAAUGGUCUUCGCAAACGGAUGCAUUCUCGAAGGAGAAUGCCAAUCUUGGAAUCUAUGCCUUGGUCGGGACAGUUGCUUGCAAUUUUUCGACUCGAACCAGGAAUUCCUUGUAAUCGUGAUUCAUCACAUCACGAUGAAUACGUCCCUGCCCUUUGUACACACCGCCCGUCGCUCCUACCGAUCGAAGAGUUAGGUGAAUUGUUUUGUUCGAUAAGAUUUGACUAUGGUCAACUCUCGUUGUGAAAUUCUGUGAAUCUGACUGUUUAGAGGAAGGAAAGGUCGUAACA
rnacentral:rRNA from 1 species